AUGAGGUCGGAAAUGGUUGCCGACGCAUCCCGAAAGGGUCUUUGAGAUGCAGGAUACACCGCCCUGCCGUUU
rnacentral:ncRNA from 1 species